CAUGCAGGCGGUCAGGCGCGUUUUGUGUGACAGCGGGUGGCUUCACUACCCGAGCAUGCGAAAGACGGCGUGACUUGAGGGCUCGAGAGGGACACGGAAUUCCGGGUGGAGUGGUGAAAUGCGUAGAGAUCCGGAGGAACACCGAAGGCGAAGGCAGUGUCCUGGCGAGUGACUGACGCUGAGGUGCGAAAGCCAGGGGAGCGAACGGGAUUAGAUACCCCGGUAGUCCUGGCCGUAAACGAUGACCACCAGGUGUGGGAGGUAUCGACCCCUUCCGUGCCGUAGUUAACACAGUAAGUGGUCCGCCGUGGGGAGUACGGUCGCAAGAUUAAA
rnacentral:rRNA from 1 species